rnacentral:lncRNA from 1 species
CCAAGAGGCCCCAAUCAAGACCCUGGGCAGUCAGCGCCCGGCUGCUCCUCUGCACAGCGGACGGUUCCCCAGCCCGCGCCCCCCAGUCUCCCUAAAAGCUGUGUGCGGUGUGCAGAUUCGAGCUCGAAUUCUCCGCGCUCUAUCACGCCCCUGUCCUAACUUGAAGGGCUACGAGAAGGGCAGGACGAGCGUCUAGACGGGCACGUCCCCUCAGUGAGUUUACACGACUUGCUAGUCCCUACUGCUCUCUCCCUACAUGCGAUAAAGGGCAAGAGUACACAAUAUCGGGCUGCAGUUUCAGAACUGACCUUUCUCCGUUCUGAAAACCAGUGCAUGUGCGCGCCGCCGGGCACCAGCCCUUGGGCGAGUCCCAGCUUACUCCUCCUCCGGGGAAGGGGAAGCCUGGGCCACCGGGCUCCGCGACCAGCUAGCGACAGUUUGAGAUGCGUUGAUCUUUCAUUUCUGUUGCUGCUCAUGCUAACAUCCACAGACUGACACGGUAACAGGACAACGGAGUGAGGGGACAUGAUCACAAGUGAGCCCCAGAGAGUAGCCCAAGAGUCUUGGUAUCCUCAGGAAAAUUAGCUUAAAGCAGGAAAUGAUGAUCUGCUGCAUUCAAGGUAUUAGGAGACAAUACAAAGGGAAAAGGACCUGUCCUCCCUCCAAAACCUGGGAGCCGUGGAGCACAGAGGGAUACAAGUCACUGGAGAAACUUCAGAAGGACAAGGAAGUUACAGUUAGGUAAGGAAAUAGGAAAGAUGCUCUUAACCUGGGAUUCCCAGGGAGAGGCAACGGGGUAAAAAAAAGGGAAAGAAGGGAAAAAAAGAAAACCUGAAGAGUUUUUAGUCAUGUGCCUUGUGUAUGUUCACUUUUGUUUACAUACAUUUAUCCAAAUCCUGAAAACCCGAAGCGGAUAAUCCUACUUGAGAAGAAACAAGCUCAGAGAGGUUAUCUAACCACAUCAGCCAGCCAAUGAAUGGCAAACAGACCUUAAUAUCUGCUGUUUUUAACAUUUUAGUGUUUUUGCAUAAUCCUACAAAUACCAUUUGACAGGUGAUCCUGAGGUUCAGGGGGGUUAAGUAAUUUGAUCAAGGGAACUUGCCUGUCAGCAAGUCCAAGGUGCAAACCAAAUCUCACAGGUUCAUCCCACGUUCACAGCCGCACCAAGGCGGAAACACACCUAAGGUGAAACAAAAUAUGACAGUAUUAGCAUAUACAUAUCAGGGCUAGUGUAGGUGUAAGGCUGAGAACAGAUUGGAGGCAGAUCAUAAGAAUUGGUGAAUCAUCUUGGAUGAUGACGUCUAUAAAUGCAUACCUGAUUUGUUCCAAAGAGGAUUUGAAGCACAGGAAAAUACCAAUGAGAUGAGAGUAAAGGACGAAAGGAAAUCAAAGGCAGUAAGUGCUUAAACUAAAAGGUGAAUAGGAAAUUGAACUCCAGGUUUCUUAGCCCAAGAAGUAGACAUGAUUAGUUACAAGAGUCUUCUGCAUCCAUAAACGAAUAAUCACUGUAUCCCUCUGUAGUUUCCCAGGACUGUUUCUUUCCAUCCAUAUGCACACACGACAUACUUGCGAACAGAG